CUUGCCUUUUGCAAGGUGACAAGCACUGAGGGCAGCUUCUACUCGUUUGCGAUCAGCAGGAAACAUCUGGAAAAAACUGAGGGAGCAAAGAAAAGGACCAGGCAGCAGAAGAGUCAUGCCUAGGCAGGGAAGGCUCAGGGAGCUGGGAGGCAGCUCAGAGGAAACUCAAGAGACUCACUUCUUCACAGGGAUCUUCCCUUCAGGGUUGAGCUGCAUCUUAAGCUUCACCAGGCUGAGGGGAUGGACGGGUCAUGGCUCCAUCAAAAGACAGAAUCCCUCUCCAAGAUUCCUUGCUACCAUCCUGGAAAGCUUGGCCAGUGAGAGCUGAGAGCCUGGGUUGUCACCUGCACAGUCAAGGCCCUGCACACACAGCAGCGGAUCUGCUCCUCAGAAGCUCUGCCAUCCAACCGGGAAUUCAGCCUCAGAAAUUCAGCAGGUGCCAGGUAGGCUGCCUCUGAGUGCAUGGUGUGACUGUAUGGGAUGAGCCUGCAUCCUCAGAACUUGUGAGUAUUUGCUGGACCCAAAGUGGACUCAAGGGUGAGGGAUGAUGGGCGAAGGGCCCAGUGCUUCAGGAAGAAGAAACUGGGAGUAACAGGGAGCUGAAGAAGUAAUUGUGAGUGAUCCCCUGAAUAGAGGCAUUGGGAGAUUUCAAGCAAGUGAGCCCCAAGACAGGAAGGAGGGUGUCCCCCAAAAUCAUCAAAAAGACCACCAGAGGAAGAAUAGGUUUUAAGGUCUGUCAGACUUAGAAAUUCCAAGCCAGCUGUUGACAGCACGUAUUCAAGAAUGAACUGCCACACCUCCCUGUGCCCCACUUAGAAGGACCUAGAAAAGAAAGAGCUGAGAACACCACCAUCGGCCCUUCCUCGGGAGCCUGCACCUGUCCUAGGCCUGGGAGGACAGCAAAGCACAAUGCUGAAGCAAGGCUGGAGUUUCACUUCUAACUUGUUUCUAGAACAGGACUGGGUUUUGUGGGGACUGUGGGACCAUUGUCCAAAGGUGAAGGUCAUGUCUGAUAGCUUGCAGAGUUUCUUCCCAUAGCUAGGAGAGGUUUUCCCUCUAAGGAUGUUUUAAAGGGGCUGUGGGAGACUAAACAGAGUCAGCUUUGGCUGUAUCCUUUGCACUACAGUGAUUAAUAUAGUGGGACACAUCCCUGUCACCUACUAACCCGACCCAAAGCAGCCCAAGAGCAGAACCUGGCUCAUAGAUCACGUGUCCUGUGACCAGGCUUGGGACAUUCCUGCUCAUGCGAGUCAGGAUCCAGGGAUCACACAGUGCUCUGGCUUGGGGAGGUGAAUGGGUCAACAACAGGUUGAAGAGAGAGCCACACAGCGUGUCUACCUCGGGUGACCCACUGCCCGCUCAGGUUAUACACACUGCCCAGAGGAACUGAGAGCAGCCACUUCAGUUUUCACUGUGAGUCAUUUCCCUCUUUCCAGGGGCUCCUAAGACAUGCCCCAUCAUCACCUCCAUGCCACCACCAUGCCCAUCACCUCCGUGUCACCACCAUGCUAGCACCGUGCCACACCAACCAAAACAGAAAGCAUCUACUCCCAGGGCCUCACUCCCACAGUCUGGGCAGCCAGAUGCGUUGACCUAGCGUAGCCCCAAAGGGUCUAGACUCAGACUCCCCUCGUUGCCCAGAGAAACAAGACAAGCCAAUUCAGGGAGCUGAAGUAAUACUUGUAGGUAACCUCCUGAAUGCAAUGUGCUGUUGGAAACCCCAAGCCUUCCUAAGGCCAGUCUAGAGUUCUCUUAAGGAGGCCUAGCCUCCCUGAAGGACAGUCCUCAUUUUAUUCUUCCUAGACCAAGAGAUUCUGUGGUUAAGGGCAGUGUUUUCAGGGCCCAGAAGGACCAGAGACUGUCUAGGAAGGAGCAGACUCCUCGGACUGGGGUACAGUGCUGUUCUUCCUGGCAGACAGGUUGGCAGGUAGUAGCAAGUAGAAGGCUGAGCUGAGGUGAACCACCAAGGGGAAGCAGAAGUCAGCAGGUUCCUUCCCAGGCCCCAGAAGCUUGAACCUCCCUCCAGUUUUCAACUGGAUCCCCAGCCCUUUCGUGACUGCCCCCACAGUCAUAGCUCGAGGGAGAACAUGGCUUCCCUGGGACAGGAUGCAUCUUGUUCUGUGGACUGGGGUGGUCCAGCUGGUUAUGGGUCUCCUGCCAGAGCAAACUUGGGGAUGUCUGUGCUGGGAAGGGGGGCCUGGCUGACCUCUUUUGUUUGCUUGCCCUAUCUCAGCUGGGGGGUAUGCAUUUCCCCUGCCAACACUGAAACUACUAGAAACAAACCUUUGUCAUCUUCAGGGAUUUGGAAAAGGGCAAAUCAAGUCCAAAGAGAUUACCUUUUCUGAUACUGCGCCCCCCCCCCCCCACACACACAUGCACGCAGCCCACCUCCACCUCCUCAUUCCCAGACGCACCGGCUUCCUCACAGCAGCCAAGGACAAGCACCCUUACCCCAGACUUGUUUAUCUAGCUGUGUGCCAGCUGCCUAACCAAGCCACAUAGGCGCCUGGGUGCUGGGAGACAUAAACCAACCCACCCGCUCUGCCAAGCACCGGGGAGCUACCCAGCACCGGCCACUCCCAGGGCCCGUCCC